rnacentral:rRNA from 1 species
AUGGCGACCGGCGUACGGGUGAGUAACGCGUAUCCAACCUGCCCUUUACUAUGGGACAGCCCGUCGAAAGGCGGAUUAAUACCGUAUGUUGUCAUGUUGAUGCAUAUUUUCAUGACCAAAGGCUUCGGCCGGUAAAGGAUGGGGAUGCGUCUGAUUAGCUUGCCGGCGGGGUAACGGCCCACCCGGGGCGACGAUCAGUAGGGGUUCUGAGAGGAAGGUCCCCCACAUUGGAACUGAGACACGGUCCAAACUCCUACGGAAGGCAGCAG